AACGGAGGGGGCAAGCGUUAUUCAUCCUUAUUGGGCGUAAAGGGUACGUAGGUAAUGAAAAGUGUUUUUAAAGAAAACUCAAGUUUAUUUCUUGAAGGGUUGAAAAACAUUGAUUAAUUCGAGAUUUUAGGAGGUUGGCGGAAUUACUAAUGUAGAGGUAAAAUAUUACGAUCUUAGUACGAAUACCGAAGGACGAAAGCAGCUU
rnacentral:rRNA from 1 species